rnacentral:rRNA from 1 species
UACGUAGGAGACGAGCGUUGUCCGGAGUUACUGGGCGUAAAGGGUGCGCAGGUGGCGGCGCGCGUGGGGGGUGAAAUCGCCCGGCUUAACUGGGCGGGGGCCUUCCAGACGGCGUGGCUUGAGCAGCGGAGGGGGACGUGGAAUUCCGGGUGGAGCGGUGAAAUGCGUAGAGAUCCGGAGGAACACCGGUGGCGAAGGCGGCUACCUGGACCAGCAUUGACACUCAAGCACGAAAGCGUGGGGAGCAAACAGG